rnacentral:rRNA from 1 species
AUUGAACGCUGGCGGCAGGCCUAACACAUGCAAGUCGAGCGGAUGAAGGGAGCUUGCUCCUGGCUUCAGCGGCGGACGGGUGAGUAAUGCCUAGGAAUCUGCCUGGUAGUGGGGGAUAACGUCCGGGAACGGGCGCUAAUACCGCAUACGUCCUGAGGGAGAAAGUGGGGGAUCUUCGGACCUCACGCUAUCAGAUGAGCCUAGGUCGGAUUAGCUAGUUGGUGGGGUAAAGGCCUACCAAGGCGACGAUCCGUAACUGGUCUGAGAGGAUGAUCAGUCACACUGGAACUGAGACACGGUCCAGACUCCUACGGGAGGCAGCAGUGGGGAAUAUUGGACAAUGGGCGAAAGCCUGAUCCAGCCAUGCCGCGUGUGUGAAGAAGGUCUUCGGAUUGUAAAGCACUUUAAGUUGGGAGGAAGGGCAGUAAGUUAAUACCUUGCUGUUUUGACGUUACCAACAGAAUAAGCACCGGCUAACUUCGUG